GAUUUUCGCAAUGCCCGAAAGGGUGACGAAGCGACGCCGCGUGGGUGAGGAAGGCCCUCGGGUUGUAAAGCCCUGUCAGGAGUUAAGAAAUGUAGAUACGCUAAUAUCGUAUCUAUUUGACAAAGGCUCCAAAGGAAGCCACGGCUAACUCUGUGCCAGCAGCCGCGGUAAUACAGAGGUGGCAAGCGUUGUUCGGAAUUAUUGGGCGUAAAGAGCACGUAGGUGGAUUUGUAAGUCGGAUGUGAAAGCCUUCUGUUCAACGGAAGAAUUGCAUCUGAAACUACAAACCUUGAGUAUAGGAGGGGAGAAUGGAACUUCUGGUGGAGCGGUGAAAUGCGUAGAUAUCAGAAGGAACGCCGGCGGCGAAAGCGAUUCUCUGGCCUAUUACUGACACUCAGUGUGCGAAAGCUAGGGGAGCAAACGGGAUUAGAUACCCCGGUAGUCCUAGCCGUAAACGAUGGGCACUAAGUAGAGGGG
rnacentral:rRNA from 1 species